CUGGCGGCGUGCCCAACACAUGCAAGUCGAACGAGAAAGUGGAGCAAUCCAUGAGUAAAGUGGCGACCGGGUGAGUAACACGUGACUAACCUACCCUCGAGUGGGGAAUAACUCCGGGAAACCGGGGCUAAUACCGCAUAACAUCGCAAGAUCAAAGCAGCAAUGCGCUUGAGGAGGGGGUCGCGGCUGAUUAGCUAGUUGGCGGAGUAACGGCCCACCAAGGCGAAGAUCGGUAUCCGGCCUGAGAGGGCGCACGGACACACUGGAACUGAAACACGGUCCAGACUCCUACGGGAGGCAGCAGUGGGGAAUUUUGCGCAAUGGGGGAAACCCUGACGCAGCAACGCCGCGUGGAGGAUGAAGCCCUUUGGGGCGUAAACUCCUUUCGACUCGGACGAUGAUGACGGUACGAGUGGAAGAAGCACCGGCUAACUCUGUGCCAGCAGCCGCGGUAAUACAGAGGGUGCGAGCGUUGUUCGGAAUUAUUGGGCGUAAAGGGCGCGUANGCGGUGCGGUAAGUCACCUGUGAAAUCUCCUGGCUUAACUGGGAGCCUGCAGGCGAAACUACCGUGCUGGAGUGUGGGAGAGGUGCGUGGAAUUCCC
rnacentral:rRNA from 1 species